GAUGAACGCUGGCGGCGUGCCUAAUACAUGCAAGUCGAGCGAACGGACGAGAAGCUUGCUUCUCUGAUGUUAGCGGCGGACGGGUGAGUAACACGUGGAUAACCUACCUAUAAGACUGGGAUAACUUCGGGAAACCGGAGCUAAUACCGGAUAAUAUUUUGAACCGCAUGGUUCAAAAGUGAAAGACGGUCUUGCUGUCACUUAUAGAUGGAUCCGCGCUGCAUUAGCUAGUUGGUAAGGUAACGGCUUACCAAGGCAACGAUGCAUAGCCGACCUGAGAGGGUGAUCGGCCACACUGGAACUGAGACACGGUCCAGACUCCUACGGGAGACAGCAGUAGGGAAUCUUCCGCAAUGGGCGAAAGCCUGACGGAGCAACGCCGCGUGAGCGAUGAAGGUCUUCGGAUCGUAAAACUCUGUUAUUAGGGAAGAACAUAUGUGUAAGUAACUGUGCACAUCUUGACGGUACCUAAUCAGAAAGCCACGGCUAACUACGUG
rnacentral:rRNA from 1 species